UAUCUUCAGGGCAGGGUGAAAGUCCCUACCGGCGGUAAAGCCCGCGAGCCGUAAGGCAUGAUUCGGUUAGAUUCCGAAGCCGACAGUACAGUCUGGAUGAGAGAAGAUU
rnacentral:ncRNA from 1 species